UACAUAGGGAGCGAGCGUUAUCCGGAUUUAUUGGGUGUAAAGGGUGCGUAGACGGGAAUACAAGUUGGUUGUGAAAUCCCUCGGCUCAACCGAGGAACUGCAACCAAAACUAUAUUUCUUGAGUGCUGGAGAGGAAAGUGGAAUCCCUAGUGUAGCGGUGAAAUACGUAGAUAUUAGGAGGAACACCAGUGGCGAAGGCGACUUUCUGGACAGUAACUGACGUUGAGGCACGAAAGUGUGGGGAGCAAACAGG
rnacentral:rRNA from 1 species